CUGUGACGCGUUUGGGUUAUGAAAAUGCAUUUUGAGGAUAUGGGCGCUGAAGUCACGAAGAGUUUAUUUAUUUGUUGUUGAGAUGUUCUGUAUUGCUUCAGAUUAUUAUUUUUGUACCCUCGCCUUUAUCUUGAUUUAUUUUGUAAGAGGGGUAGGAAUUGUAUUAGAUAAUGCUUGUGAUAUUAUUUAUAUCUAUGUAU